AAUACGUUCCCGGGCCUUGUACACACCGCCCGUCAAGCCAUGGGAGUUGAAGGUACCCGAAGUCGAUUACCGCAAGGAGUCGCCCAAGGUAAAUUCGAUGACUGGGGCU
rnacentral:rRNA from 1 species